rnacentral:rRNA from 1 species
UGGUAGUGUAUUGGACUACCAUGGCUUUUACGGGUAACGGAGGAUUAGGGUUCGAUUCCGGAGAGGGAGCCUGAGAAACGGCUACCACAUCUAAGGAAGGCAGCAGGCGCGUAAAUUACCCAAUACUGACUCAGUGAGGUAGUGACAAGAAAUAACGGGCCGGGGAUUUCCCCGGGACUGAAAUGAGUUUAAUUUAAACCCCUUUUCGAGGAUCCAUUGGAGGGCAAGUCUGGUGCCAGCAGCCGCGGUAAUUCCAGCUCCAAUAGCGUAUAUUAAAGUUGUUGCAGUUAAAAAGCUCAUAGUUGGAUUUCUGGCAGGGCGCCGAUGCCCGCUUGUUGCGUGUGCAGAGCGCCCUACCAUCCUUCUGUUAACUCUAAUAGGCAUUGAUUUGUCUGUAGAGGGCUCAGAUAUUUUACCUUGAGAAAAUUAGAGUGUUUCAGGCAGGCUUGCGCCGGAAUACAUUAGCAUGGAAUAAUAGAAUAGGACUUUUACCUCUUCUGUUGGUCUGAGGGGUUGAAGUAAUGAUUAAUAGGGAUAGUUGGGGGCAUUAGUACUUAACUGUCAGAGGUGAAAUUCUCUGGAUUUGUUAAAGACUAACUUAUGCGAAAGCAUUUGCCAAGGAUGU